UGUGUUUCUUUAGCCUUUAGCUCCUUCUGUUUCAAUGUCCUUUAUUAGAGCAAAUUUCUAUGUGUAAAAUGUGACACGCUUAAGUUUUUAACCCUUCAUCAGUCAGCUUUUUCUGUUUUAAGUCUGUUUUUCCUUGAAAUGUGAUCAAAACUGUAAUGUAGGGUCUGCCUUAAGGUUUUCGGUUUUGUUUGAAAAGCUGUAUGCAGGAAAUGUGGAAGGAAUGGGAAAUGCAUAUAGCUGAGUAGGAAAAUAUCUUCCACGGACUGCAAUAGGAAGAUUCCACUUUCCUUGAGGUCUGCAAAGUUUGGAAGCUUAAAUGGCUCUCACCUGUUGGAGUUUGUGCACCUCUUCUGGAUGUAGACAGGCUGUGCAGUAAUUUCAGAGGACCACCUCAGGGUGAACGCCAGGUGAAGGCAGAAGUUAGCAUCCUUCCUGUGACCAGCACUGAACCAUGAUUUUGAGGCAUUUCUGCCUCUUGUGCCUGAUCUUGGCUUCCUUUGCUUUGCCUUUAAGCUUUUUCACAGGUCAAUAAAUGGCACCUCAGGCUGCCAAUGGAGAAGGUUGUCACUGUCGUGAAAGACAGCUGAUGUGUGUUUGCCUGAAAAAUCAACAAAAAUAAACUUAUCAGCAGAGUGUGGA